AUUGAACGCUGGCGGAAUGCUUUACGCAUGCAAGUCGAACGGCAGCACGGGGGCAACCCUGGUGGCGAGUGGCGAACGGGUGAGUAAUACAUCGGAACGUGCCCAGUCGUGGGGGAUAACGUAGCAAAAGUUACGCUAAUACCGCAUACGAUCUACGGAUGAAAGCGGGGGACCGUAAGGCCUCGCGCGAUUGGAGCGGCCGAUGUCAGAUUAGGUAGUUGGUGAGGUAAAGGCUCGCCAAGCCGACGAUCUGUAGCUGGUCUGAGAGGACGACCAGCCACACUGGGACUGAGACACGGCCCAGACUCCUACGGGAGGCAGCAGUGGGGAAUUUUGGACAAUGGGCGCAAGCCUGAUCCAGCCAUUCCGCGUGCAGGACGAAGGCCUUCGGGUUGUAAACUGCUUUUGUACGGAACGAAAAGGCUCUGGUUAAUACCUGGGGCUCAUGACGGUACCGUAAGAAUAAGCACCGGCUAACUACGUGCCAGCCGCCGCCGUAA
rnacentral:rRNA from 1 species